AUUGAACGCUGGCGGCAGGCCUAACACAUGCAAGUCGAGCGAGCGGCGGACGGGUGUGUCAUGCCUGGGAAUAUGCCUUAGUGUGGGGGCUACCUAUUGGAAACGAUAGCUAAUACCGCAUACGCUCAUAUUAGCCCAGGUGAGAUUAGCUAGUUGGGGAGGUAAGAGUUCACCAAGGCGACGAUCUCUAGCUGGUCUGAGAGGAGGAUAAGCCACACGGGAACUGAGACACGGUCAAGAGUCCUACGGGAGGCAGCAGUGGGGAAUAGUGCACAAGGGGCGAAAGCCUUAUACAGCCAGGCAGCGUGUAGGAAGAAGGCCUUCGGGGCGGAAAGUACGUUCAGUAGGGAGGCGUUACUUACAGAAGAAGCACCGGCUAACUCCGUGCCAGCAGCCGCGGUAAUAC
rnacentral:rRNA from 1 species